rnacentral:rRNA from 1 species
AAAUUGAAGAGUUUGAUCAUGGCUCAGAUUGAACGCUGGCGGCAGGCCUAACACAUGCAAGUCGAGCGGUAACACAGGGAGCUUGCUCCUGGGUGACGAGCGGCGGACGGGUGAGUAAUGUCUGGGAAACUGCCCGAUGGAGGGGGAUAACUACUGGAAACGGUAGCUAAUACCGCAUAACGUCGCAAGACCAAAGAGGGGGACCUUCGGGCCUCUUGCCAUCGGAUGUGCCCAGAUGGGAUUAGCUAGUAGGUGGGGUAACGGCUCACCUAGGCGACGAUCCCUAGCUGGUCUGAGAGGAUGACCAGCCACACUGGAACUGAGACACGGUCCAGACUCCUACGGGAGGCA